rnacentral:rRNA from 1 species
GACGAACGCUGGCGGCGUGCUUAACACAUGCAAGUCGAACGCUGAAGCUCAGCUUUUGUCGGGUGGAUGAGUGGCGAACGGGUGAGUAACACGUGAGUAACCUGCCUCCUUCUUUGGGAUAACGCCCGGAAACGGGUGCUAAUACUGGAUAUUCACUGGUCUUCGCAUGGGGGUUGGUGGAAAGGGUUUUUCUGGUGGGGGAUGGGCUCGCGGCCUAUCAGCUUGUUGGUGGGGUGAUGGCCUACCAAGGCUUUGACGGGUAGGCGGCCUGAGAGGGUGACCGGUAACAUUGGGACUGAGAUACGGCCUAGACUACUACGGGAGGCAGCAGUGGGGAAUAUUGCACAAUGGGCGCAAGCCUGAUGCAGCGACGCCGCGUGAGGCAUGGAGGCCUUCGGGUUGUGAACCUCUUUCGCUCAUGGUCAAGCCGCAACAAUGGUUGUGGUGAGGGUAGUGGGUAAAGAAGCGCCGGCUAACUACGUG